GUACUUACUUGGGCAGCACAUGUACUGAAAUCGGAAUGAUACAGAAGCUUGACAUGGUCCUUGCACAAGAAUGACAUACAAAUUCAUGACGUAUUUCAUAUUUUU
ensembl:snRNA U6 U6 spliceosomal RNA